UGCCUCCGAGCAAGUGAGGGCUAUAAAUAGCGCAGAGAAAACGUAGCGCCCAAACAAAAUUCAGAUUGUGGAUUUUGCGAGAAGCCGACUAGUUGUAACCAGCAAUAGAUACCAAAAAUGGGGUGGGUUUGGACAGACGACGAGCCAGACGAGCUCAAGUCGUCGUCGCCUGGUGAUGAAAUUAGCGAAUAUUGGAAAAGCCCUGAUUCAUCCUCUGGGAAGGUGUGCUCUACGAGGAAGGUGGUGAAGUCGCAGUGCAAGACGGAGGAGGUGGAGCGUGGAAAGUUCGUCAGGAAAUGCGAGAAAACUGAAGAGAUUCUCAGAGUGCCUUGGAGAGCCUGUCAAGGUCCUGAAGUCCAACAAGGAGUAUACUGAAGACGAUGUCACAGACGUGGUGGUUAAAGGGUCUUCCUCAGUUGGGCAAUUUGAUAACUCACCAUUUGGCUUUCCAGGUCUUCGAAGUGAUAUUGAAGGUAUCGAGCAUCACUUCCUCGAUGGCAUCAACCGAUUUUUUGAAGCAGCCGAACAGAUGAGGAGUAGCUUUUUCGAUGUUUUUGGGAACUCGUAUAAGGAGAAUCCAUCAUCCUCACCAUCUGUGAGGCGAGGGAUACCCAUUGAAGACUAUCCUCAAAAAAGAGAAGCCUCUCCUAAACAAAGGGAGCCUGAUUCUGGUGAUUUUGAUCUUUCUGGUUUGACCAGAGACGUCUGGAUUAGUUUGCUGAUAAAUUGCCAUAGUUUAAUAGAAUUUUGUUGUUCCCAUGUUUUUAUAUGACUAGUGAAAUAUAGACUGCCGAACUAAAGUUUAUGUGCUGGAAUCUAAAGUCGGCUCUUGAAUGUAGGAGCAUGAAUUUGAUUGUCAUUGCUAAGUUGAGAUUAAGGAUGAUGACAGUUCGGUUAA